rnacentral:tRNA from 1 species
CGGAUGUAUCCAAGUGGAUCAAGGCAGUGGAUUGUGAAUCCACCAUGCGCGAU